UGGGGAAUAUUGCGCAAUGGGGGAAACCCUGACGCAGCGACGCCGCGUGCGGGAUGAAGGCCUUCGGGUUGUAAACCGCUUUUGAUUGGGAGCAAGCUUUCGGGUGAGUGUACCUUUCGAAUAAGCGCCGGCUAACUACGUGCCAGCAGCCGCGGUAAUACGUAGGGCGCAAGCGUUAUCCGGAAUUAUUGGGCGUAAAGGGUACGUAGGCGGGUAAGCAAGUUAGAAGUGAAAUCCUGUAGCUCAACUACAGUAAGCUUUUAAAACUGCUCAUCUUGAGAUAUGGAAGGGAAAGUGGAAUUCCUAGUGUAGCGGUGAAAUGCGCAGAUAUUAGGAGGAAUACCGGUGGCGAAGGCGACUUUCUGGCCAUAAUCUGACGCUGAGGUACGAAAGCGUGGGUAGCAAACAGG
rnacentral:rRNA from 1 species